UACGUAGGGUGCGAGCGUUAAUCGGAAUUACUGGGCGUAAAGCGUGCGCAGGCGGCUUUUUAAGCCAGACGUAAAAUCCCCGGGCUUAACCUGGGAAUGGCGUUUGGGACUGGAAGGCUUGAGUGCGGCAGAGGGAGGUGGAAUUCCUGGUGUAGCAGUGAAAUGCGUAGAUAUCAGGAGGAACACCGAUGGCGAAGGCAGCCUCCUGGGCCAGCACUGACGCUCAUGCACGAAAGCGUGGGGAGCAAACAUG
rnacentral:rRNA from 1 species